UACGUAGGGCGCAAGCGUUGUCCGGAAUUAUUGGGCGUAAAGAGCUCGUAGGCGGUUUGUCGCGUCUGGUGUGAAAACUCAAGGCUCAACCUUGAGCUUGCAUCGGGUACGGGCAGACUAGAGUGCGGUAGGGGUGACUGGAAUUCCUGGUGUAGCGGUGGAAUGCGCAGAUAUCAGGAGGAACACCGAUGGCGAAGGCAGGUCACUGGGCCGCAACUGACGCUGAGGCGCGAAAGCUAGGGGAGCAAACGGG
rnacentral:rRNA from 1 species